rnacentral:rRNA from 1 species
CCUACGGGGGGCAGCAGUGAGGAAUAUUGGUCAAUGGGCGGGAGCCUGAACCAGCCAAGUCGCGUGAGGGAAGACGGUCCUAUGGAUUGUAAACCUCUUUGGGCGGGGAGCAAUGCCGGGCACGUGUGCCCGGAGGGAGAGUACCCGCAGAAUAAGCAUCGGCUAACUCCGUGCCAGCAGCCGCGGUAAUACGGAGGAUGCGAGCGUUAUCCGGAUUUAUUGGGCGUAAAGCGCUCGUAGGCGGUAUGUCAAGUCAAGGGUGAAAGCCCCGCGCUCAACGUGGGAACUGCCUUUGAAACUGGCAAACUUGAGUGUGUGAGAGGAUAGUGGAAUUCCAGGUGUAGGAGUGAAAUGCGUAGAUAUCUGGAGGAACAGCAGUGGCGAAGGCGACUAUCUGGCACAUAACUGACGCUGAGGAGCGAAAGCGUGGGUAGCAAACAGGAUUAGAUACCCCAGUAGUC